UUAGAAAGUGAUGUGGACAACAUG
rnacentral:siRNA from 1 species